CCUACGGGAGGCAGCAGUGGGGAAUAUUGGGCAAUGGGCGCAAGCCUGACCCAGCAACGCCGCGUGAAGGAAGAAGGCUUUCGGGUUGUAAACUUCUUUUCUGAGGGACGAAGAAAGUGACGGUACCUCAAGAAUAAGCCACGGCUAACUACGUGCCAGCAGCCGCGGUAAUACGUAGGUGGCAAGCGUUAUCCGGAUUUAUUGGGUGUAAAGGGCGUGUAGGCGGGAAAGCAAGUCAGAUGUGAAAGCUCAGGGCUCAACCCUGAGACUGCAGUUGAAACUGUUUUUCUUGAGUGCAGGAGAGGUAAGCGGAAUUCGGGGUGUAGCGGUGAAAUGCGUAGAUAUACGGAGGAACACCAGUGGCGAAGGCGGAUUGCUGGACAGUAACUGACGCUGAGGCGCGAAAGCGUGGGUAGCAAACAGGAUUAGAUACCCCGGUAGUC
rnacentral:rRNA from 1 species